AUAGGCUGCUGCGUUGGACUUGACCGGGUCCAUUGGGUGGCUGAGCAUGGAGAUCACCUCAUGCAGGUUGGGAUCUCUCCAGCGCGGGUCUCUUCGGAUGCUGUCCAGGCUGACCAUGCUGCUUCGUUUGUGGGUUCUGUCUGUCUGCGCGAGCGAAGGAAAAGCUUCUGGCAGCCAAUAACAGGUUGACUCGAGACUGGAGCAAAGACAGAACCUGGAUGUUUGUGCAGGUCUGUCUGCGACAGACUGGCGACCUGUCCAGGGUGUACCCUGCC